rnacentral:rRNA from 1 species
CCCCUACGAAAGGCAUCCGAAUGGGGAUUAAAGAUUGAUCGCUAUGGGACUGGGGAUGCGUCUGAUUAGCUUGUUGCGGGGUAAACGGCCCACCAAGGCAACGAUCAGUAGGGGGUUCUGAGAGGAAGGUCCCCCCANAUUGGAACUGAGACACGGUCCAAACUCCUACGGGAGGCAGCAGUGAGGAAUAUUGGUCAAUGGGCGAGAGCCUGAACCAGCCAAGUAGCGUGCAGGACGACGGCCCUAUGGGUUGUAAACUGCUUUUAUAAGGGAAUAAAGUGAGUCUCGUGAGACUUUUUGCAUGUACCUUAUGAAUAAGGACCGGCUAAUUCCGUG